UACGUAUGGUGCAAGCGUUAUCCGGAUUUACUGGGUGUAAAGGGAGCGUAGACGGUUACGCAAGUCUGGAGUGAAAGGCGGGGGCCCAACCCCCGGACUGCUUUGGAAACUGUAUAACUGGAGUGCAGGAGAGGUAAGUGGAAUUCCUAGUGUAGCGGUGAAAUGCGUAGAUAUUAGGAGGAACACCAGUGGCGAAGGCGGCCUGCUGGGCUUUUACUGACGCUGAGGCUCGAAAGUGUGGGGAGCAAACAGG
rnacentral:rRNA from 1 species